AGAACUUAGCAGAGAUGCUUUGGUGCCUUCGGGAACUCUGAGACAGGUGCUGCAUGGCUAUCGUCAGCUCGUGUUGUGGAAUGUUGGGUUAAGUCCCGCAACGAGCGCAACCCUUAUCCUUUGUUGCCAGCGGUUAGGCCGGGAACUCAAAGGAGACUGCCAGUGAUAAACUGGAGGAAGGUGGGGAUGACGUCAAGUCAUCAUGGCCCUUACGAGUAGGGCUACACACGUGCUACAAUGGCGCAUACAAAGAGAAGCGACCUCGCGAGAGCAAGCGGACCUCAUAAAGUGCGUCGUAGUCCGGAUUGGAGUCUGCAACUCGACUCCAUGAAGUCGGAAUCGCUAGUAAUCGUGGAUCAGAAUGCCACGGUGAAUACGUUCCCGGGCCUUGUACACACCGCCCGUCACACCAUGGGAGUGGGUUGCAAAAGAAGUAGGUAGCUUAACCUUCGGGAGGGCGCUUACCACUUUGUGAUUCAUGACUGGGGUGAAGUCGUAACAAGGUAAGCGUAGUGCU
rnacentral:rRNA from 1 species